UAUAACCCUUUAGCGUUCAGAUUACUCCGUCGAAUUUAAUCCUCAUUUAAUCCCACUGUUUCGAAUUAAUCCUGCAUUAUCUCAUAGCUCUGAGAUUUCAACGACGUGAUCGUUCCUUUUUUUAGAAUGACAUUGUAGGGUAAGUGUGAGAGGCUGGAUGUGGCCAGUUUGAACAUAAAACAGGUAGAGUAUUUGGACUAUUUUGAAUAUUAUGGCCCGAUUAAAUGCUAAAUAGUUGAAGUCUCUAGAUUCUCAGGGCAACUACUAACGAAACCACUAAUCACUCUCUUAAUUCUGUUUCCAGAAAUGCCAGAAAAUACAACCGCAAAGCAAUAUUCCACCAAAUAAUCCUCAUUCUCUUCAGUUUUGUUCUCCCCAUGUUCCUGCUUCUAAUGUCAAACUUCAGUGAACCCCUUUUCUCCUUGGCAGGCAGCUCCCUAAGGGAAACCCUCAUUUCUUACACUAUUCCCUUAAGAACCUUCUGGAAUAUAUUAACAGAAGAUUUCAGAUACUAUAUUUCCAUUGGCACCAUGGUCCUCUCCUUGCUCUUCCUCGUCAUUGCAAGGUUUAGUUUCAGG